rnacentral:rRNA from 1 species
CCUACGGGAGGCAGCAGUGGGGAAUAUUGGGCAAUGGGCGCAAGCCUGACCCAGCAACGCCGCGUGAAGGAAGAAGGCUUUCGGGUUUUAAACUUCUUUUCUCAGGGACGAAACGAGUGACGGUACCUGAGGAAUAAGCCACGGCUAACUACGUGCCAGCAGCAGCGGUGAUACGUAGGUGGCAAGCGUUAUCCGGAUUUACUGGGUGUAAAGGGCGUGUAGGCGGGAAAGCAAGUCAGAUGUGAAAACCAUGGGCUCAACCUGUGGACUGCAUUUGAAACUGUUUUUCUUGAGUACAGGAGAGGCAGACGGAAUGCGUAGUGUAGCGGUGAAAUGCGUAGAUAUUAGGAGGAACACCAGUGGCGAAGGCGGUCUGCUGAACAGCAACUGACGCUGAGGCGCGAAAGCGUGGGGAGCAAACAGGAUUAGAUACCCUUGUAGUC